rnacentral:rRNA from 1 species
AAUCAACGCUGGCGGCGUGCCUAACACAUGCAAGUCGAACGAGAAAGUGGAGCAAUCCAUGAGUAAAGUGGCGACCGGGUGAGUAACACGUGACUAACCUGCCCUCCAGUGGGGGAUAACCUCGGGAAACCGGGGCUAAUACCGCAUAACAUCGCAAGAUCAAAGGAGCAAUUCGCUGGAGGAGGGGGUCGCGGCUGAUUAGCUAGUUGGUGAGGUAACGGCCCACCAAGGCAAUGAUCAGUAGCCGGCCUGAGAGGGCGCACGGCCACACUGGAACUGAAACACGGUCCAGACUCCUACGGGAGGCAGCAGUGGGGAAUUUUGCGCAAUGGGGGAAACCCUGACGCAGCAACGCCGCGUGGAGGAUGAAGUCCCUUGGGAUGUAAACUCCUUUCGAUCGGGACGAUAAUGACGGUACCGGAAGAAGAAGCACCGGCUAACUCUGUGCCAGCAGCCGCGGUAAUACAGAGGGUGCAAGCGUUGUUCGGAAUUAUUGGGCGUAAAGGGCGCGUAGGCGGUGCGGUAAGUUUGUGGUGAAAUCUUCGGGCUCAACUCGAAGACUGCCGCGAAGACUGCCG